rnacentral:rRNA from 1 species
UACGUAGGGGGCAAGCGUUGUUCGGAAUUACUGGGCGUAAAGGGCGCGUAGGCGGCACAGCAAGUCGGGGGUGAAAUCCUGGGGCUCAACCUCAGAAUUGCCUCCGAUACUGGCAGUCUCGAGUGCGGGAGAGGUGAGUGGAAUUCCCAGUGUAGAGGUGAAAUUCGUAGAUAUUGGGAAGAACACCAGUGGCGAAGGCGGCUCACUGGCCCGUAACUGACGCUGAGGUGCGAAAGCGUGGGGAGCAAACAGG